CGGAGCGUAGCGCAGCCUGGUAGCGCAUCUGGUUUGGGACCAGAGGGUCGUAGGUUCGAAUCCUAUCGCUCCGACCA
rnacentral:tRNA from 1 species